rfam:Myotis davidii contig174346, whole genome shotgun sequence.
GGUAGUUUUGGGGUAAUGCACCCCAGAAUUAGGCUCCCUCCUCUCUGGUUCUGAAUGUGUCACCUGAGAACCGCA